CAGGGAGACAACAAAAUGUAAAUAUUAAUUUUGUCACCUUAGGUCGAUCGGUAUCUCAGAUUCUUAUUUUUUAAGAAUUUCAGUUUCUAAGUUUUUUCUAGGUCACACCCAUCACUUUUUCCUGGGCCAUUAGCUCAGGUGGUUAGAGCGCACCCCUGAUAAGGGUGAGGUCCCUGGUUCAAGUCCAGGAUGGCCCAUAUCUCUAUGUUGGGGGUAUAGCUCAGUUGGUAGAGCGCCUGCUUUGCAAGCAGGAUGUCAGCGGUUCGAGUCCGCUUACCUCCACUGAAUACCACCUCUUACAUAUAUUUUAAAGAGGGAAAUUGUUUUGAGUUGUGUCCUAAUUUGCUCUGAGCGAAUCUAGCUUCCUAUUUUAUUCAAUUAAUAAGAUGCUGGACUCAUUGAACUUUUUUCAUUGUUUUCAGAGAACCUUGACAACUGCAUAGAUUAUUUUUGAAGACAAUAAGCAUCUUUAAUGAUGCAGAUUUAUUAUUUGUGCGAAUGCAUCAAAUAACAAUUCUAUUAAGCUGAUGCUUCAAUUAUUGAAGUUAUU
rnacentral:tRNA from 1 species